rnacentral:rRNA from 1 species
AACGAACGCUGGCGGCAGGCCUAACACAUGCAAGUCGAACGAGCACGACCCAGCUUGCUGGGUACGGCUAGUGGCAGACGGGUGCGUAACACGUGGGAACCUUCCCUAUAGUAAGGAAUAACAGUUGGAAACGACUGCUAAUACCAUAUACGCCUCUGGGAAGGGAAUUUAUCGCUAUAGGAUGGGCCCGCGGCAGAUUAGCUAGUUGGUGAGGUAAUGGCUCACCAAGGCAACGAUCUGUAGCUGGUCUGAGAGGACGAUCAGCCACACUGGAACUGAGACACGGUCCAGACUCCUACGGGAGGCAGCAGUGAGGAAUAUUGGACAAUGGGCGAAAGCCUGAUCCAGCCAUGCCGCGUGAGUGAAGAAGGCCUUAGGGUUGUAAAACUCUUUUAGCAGGGAAGAUAAUGACGGUACCUGCAGAAAAAGCUCCGGCUAACUCCGUGCCAGC